GUUUUUGCUUUCACAGCUUUUUCCUGUCCGGGGAGCAGGAGAAGCCAUGGCUGAUGAGAAACCAUCCAACGGUGUUCUGGUCCACAUGGUGAAGUUGCUGAUCAAGACCUUUCUAGAUGGCAUUUUUGAUGAUUUGAUGGAAAAUAAUGUGUUAAAUACAGAUGAGAUACACCUUAUAGGAAAAUGUCUAAAGUUUGUGGUGAGCAAUGCUGAAAACCUGGUUGAUGAUAUCACUGAGACAGCUCAAAUUGCAGGCAAAAUAUUUAGGGAACACCUGUGGAAUUCCAAAAAACAGCUGAGUUCAGCUUUUCUGGAAAUCCAGGGUGCCCAACCCAGUGGCAAGUUAAAGCUUUGUCCUCAUGCUCACUUCCAUGAACUAAAGACAAAAAGGGCAGAUGAGAUAUAUCCAGUGAUGGAGAAAGAGAGGCGAACAUGCCUGGCCUCAACAUCCGCAACAAAGAAUUCAACUAUCUUCAUAAUCGAAAUGGUUCUGAACUUGACCUUUUGGGGAUGUGAGAUCUACUUGAAAACCUUGGAUACUCAGUGGUUAUAAAAGAGAAUCUCACAGCUCAGGAAAUGGAAACAGCACUAAGGCAGUUUGCUGCUCACCCAGAGCACCAGUCCUCAGACAGCACAUUCCUGGUGUUUAUGUCACAUAGCAUCCUGAAUGGAAUCUGUGGGACCAAGCACUGGGAUCAAGAGCCAGAUGUUCUUCACGAUGACACCAUCUUUGAAAUUUUCAACAACCGUAACUGCCAGAGUCUGAAAGACAAACCCAAGGUCAUCAUCAUGCAAGCCUGCCGAGGCAAUGGUGCUGGGAUUGUUUGGUUCACCACUGACAGUGGAAAAGCCAGUGCAGAUACUCAUGGUCGGCUCUUGCAAGGUAACAUCUGUAAUGAUGCUGUUACAAAGGCUCAUGUGGAAAAGGACUUCAUUGCUUUCAAAUCUUCCACACCACAUAAUGUUUCUUGGAGACAUGAAACAAAUGGCUCUGUCUUCAUUUCCCAAAUUAUCUACUACUUCAGAGAGUAUUCUUGGAGUCAUCAUCUAGAGGAAAUUUUUCAAAAGGUUCAACAUUCAUUUGAGACCCCAAAUAUACUGACCCAGCUGCCCACCAUUGAAAGACUAUCCAUGACACGAUAUUUCUAUCUCUUUCCUGGGAAUUAAAACUCAUAAGAAGCAACUCAGGAAAAUGAAGGCAUUAUGGUGUCUAUGAAUCUGCUAUUAGAAAAGGUCAAUUUUUGAUUAAGAAUAUUUUUAUACCAAACUGCUCAGCUGUCCACCUUUUCAAAUACCAGGCUAAAAUCAAUCUCAUAUUUUUGCUAAAUUAAUGCUUAAUAAAUUUUUAUUAUAAAAUUGUGCUUGUUUUCUAAUUUUGUCAUAAAUUAAGUCAUGCUUAUAGGAGAAAAAAUUAAGUAUUAAAAAUCAUAAAAAAUGAAGAAAUAAUCAUCAUCAACCUUUUUAAAACUAUUCAUAAAAACUCAAGUUUUUUAUAUAGCUUAUUUAUUUUGUAUAUCCAAUUUUGUGUGCUUUUAUUAUAUUGUUAUAACAUUACUACUAGUAAUAAAACUAUCCUAAAUAUAACUUUUAAGUUUAUAAUAUUCGUCAGGUAUAUAUAGGGCAUACUAUUUAACUUUCACCUGACUUUUAGAUGUUGAUUUCAAUAUUCAUUUAUUUUAUUUUACUUUUUUUUUAUUUCAAUAAGUUUUGGGGAACAGAUUGUGUUUGGUUACAUGAAUAAGUUCUUUUGUGGUGAUUUAUGGUGCACCCAUCACCCGAGCAGUGUACACUGUAUCUAAUGUGUAGUCUUUUAUCCCUCAACCCACUCCCACCCUUUCCCCUAAGUCCCCAGAGACAAUUGUGUCAUUCUUACGGUUUUGUGUCCCCACAGCUUAGCUCCACCUGCUGCUCUGUCUGUCCAGGUGCGAGCUGCAAGUUAGGCCUGAUUCUUAUCUGUUAUUUUCUCUGAAGUCUCCUAUUUAUUUUCUUUCUUUCUUUCUUUCUUUCUUUCUUUCUUUCUUUCUUUCUUUCUUUCUUUCUUUCUCUUUCUUUUUCUUUCUUUCUUUCUCUCUUUCUUUCUUUCUUUCUUUUCUUUCUUUCUUCUUUCUUUUCUUUUUUUCUCUCUCUUUCUUUUUCUUUUUUUAAAAUUUAUUUUAAGUUCUGGGAUACAUGUGCUGAAUGUGCAGGUUUGUUACAUAGGUAUGCAUGUGCCAUGGUGGUUUGCUGCACCCAUCGACCCAUCAUCUAGGUUUUAAGCCCCGUGUGCAUUAGGUAUUUGUCCUAAUGCCCUCCCCCAACUUAGCCCCCACCCCUGGACAGGCCCUGGUAUGUGAUGUUCCUCUCCCUGUGUCUAUAUGUUCUCAUUGUUCAACUCCCCCUUAUGAAUGAGAAUAUAUGGUGUUUGGUUUUCUGUUCCUGUGUUAGUUUGCUGAGGAUGAUGAUUUCCAGCUUCAUCCAUGUCCCUGCAAAGGACAUGAACUCAUUCUUUUUAUGACUACAUAGUAUUCCAUGGUGUAUAUGUGCCACAUUUUCUUCCAGUCUAUCAUUGAUGGGCACUUAGGUUGAUAUGAUUAUGAAUAUGUUUAACUUUUACUUUUGUCUAGAAAGAGGUUUAUAUUCUUAGAAUGUAUUACUAAAAAGUAGAAUUACUGGAUCCAUACACUUAAACUGUUUGAUAAAUUAUUGCCAAAAUUUUUUGCCAAAUUAUAUGCAUAGAAGAAAUUCAAGAUAAUGACUGGUAGGUAGAGGAAUUUUUUUUUAAAAAAAUCAUUACUGAUAUAAUAGGUAAAAAUAGUCAGUUUCAUUGACAUGUCUUUUGUUAUCGACAUUAUUUGACAUUCUAACCACUUUAUUUGCUGUGUUUUAGUGAACUGUUAAUUUAUUUUUUAAAUUUUAUUUCAAAUUUUAUAUGUGUUUUCCUUAUCAAUUUGUAUAAAUCCUUUAUAUAUGACAGUGUAUUAGCUCAUAUAACAUUAGGUCAUAUAAUAUUUUUAGUUAGUUCUUUGAUAUUAUAUUUUCUGUAUGAUAUGUGAUGUGGAAUACUCACAUUUUCAGUAAUAGAAUCCAUUUAUAUUUUCUUCUGUGUUUGUUUUUAUAUUUUCAAGCUUAAAUAUUGUAUCACUACCUAUAAUUUCUUACAAUUAUAUUAAAGAUAUAUUUAAAUAUCUUAUUCUCCUUUAAAUUUUAUGAAUUCAUUCUCUAAACAAUAUGAUUUUGCAGUGAAAUGUGACAUGGGGAUAUUAUUGAUUUUUUCCAAUGAAUUACCAGUUGUCAAUGAUACACCACUUGAAUCAUAUAUAUAUAAUCAUAUAUAUAUAUAUAUACACCAAUUGUAACAUUGUCUUUAAUAUUAAUUUAUAAUGUGUUAUGGAAUGGGUGUCUUGGACGAUAUUUAAGAAAAAUACUGGACAUUGGUAUCUACUUUAGAGAAACUUUUACUACGAGGGAUUAAAACUCACUCAAACUAGCUUAAAGAAAAAGUUUCGACAUAAGCAUACAACAGGUAAUCUCAUAUUCCUCCAUUAUAAAAAGCAAACCACAAUUAGGUCUCUGGAGAUAUGGUCUAGAACAUUGAAAAUCAGGUAAUCAUUCUCUUUGAUUAGCAUCUUCAUUGUGUAAUGACUCCUUCUGAAUCAUAAAUUUUCAGAUUACUAAUUAUGGUACUUUUAAUAAAUUAGCUUAUCUGACACCAGUUUCCAGGUAUGAAGUGGGCGUGCUAGUAUCUGACUCAUAUUGAGCAGGUAUAAUAUUAUGUGCAUGUAGCACCUCCCUGUUGCACUGCCUGCCACACAGUGGGCAAUUGUUUAUGGUAGAGAUAAUUAGUGUUACAUUCACCGAUUCAUCUUUCAGGACUUAUGCUGUAUUACAUUGCUAAUUACUGUUUGAUCAUCCUCUUUAGCCCUUUCUUGUUCUUACUGUCCUUAGUCACAUACUGUGUGUGUUUCCAGGUAAAUUUUAUAAUGACUGUAUAAGUUUUCUGAUAAUUAAAAUAGGGUUCUAAUGGAA